UUUUGGAUAGCUCAAUCGGCAGAGCAAUCGACCACGAAUCGAUAUGUAGCGGGUUCGAAUCCCGUUCCAAAAACCA
rnacentral:tRNA from 1 species